rnacentral:lncRNA from 11 species
AGCCCCCAGUCUUGCCAAAGAAGCCCCACGGGAAGAUCUUCCAGGAAGACCAGAAGGAACAUCAUUCCAUCCAGAAGGAUCUCCGCCCAGGAUUUUUGCACCAGAUGGCAAAUGUGGAAGAGACGGAAGUGAAGAGACAGCAGUCCUUUCUCCCGAAGAUGCCCAUGAGCACAGAAGAGUGGAGCCCGGCAAAAAUCAUCCCCCUGCCCCAAGCAGGUCCACGCCCUCCUCCCGCAACAACCCUCUCACCUUCCCCUCCUCCCCGGCCAGUGCCCCGGCCUUACCGGUUCCCAGCCUUGAAGGCCACCCGUCCAACCUCAGCGGCCAAGCAGGCAGAGGCGCCCCUUGUGGGAACUGGACCCAUAAAAAGCGGCCCAAGCCGAAAGGCUGAGGGAAAAGGUGAAGAAACAGCGGGAGGAGAGGGAGCCCCAAAGGCCAAAACAGGAGCCCCCAGUCUUGCCAAAGAAGCCCCACGGGAAGAUCUUCCAGGAAGACCGGAAGGAACAUCAUUCCAUCCAGAAGGAUCUCCGCCCAGGAUUUUUGCACCAGAUGGCAAAUGUGGAAGAGACGGAAGUGAAGAGACAGCAGUCCUUUCUCCCGAAGAUGCCUAUGAGCACGGAAGAGUGGAGCCUGGCAAAAAUCUUCCCCCUGCCCCGAGCAGGUCCACGCCCUCCUCCCGCAACAACCCUCUCACCUUCCCCUCCUCCCCGGCCAGUGCCCCGGCCUUACCGGUUCCCAGCCUUGAAUUUCCCCGUGGAAGCCCCCGUCAAGUGGCCAGGGCCACCCGUCCAACCUCAGCGGCCAAGCAGGCAGAGGCGCCCCUUGUGGGAACUGGCCCCACAACAAGCGGCCCAAGCCAAAAAGCUGAGGGACAGUGGGAGGAGAGGGAGCAAUACCCAUCGCCCCUUCAAAAGAAACCCUAAAGGAAUGAAAUCUCUUUUAAGGAAAAAAUGUCAUUUUUUUCUCCUUUCUUAUACCUACUUAGAACAAAUUAGGAUGGAAUGAGAGGGAGUCCAGCUGGCUGACCUAAAAUGCAUAUGUUCCAUUAGCCUCUUGGCUUGAGUAAAAUAGAAGAAUUCUUACAUCUGGGCCUAAUGCUGAACCUCGAUGCAGACCGAGACCGGGAGAAUGCUGCAUGUUGGUGGCCAGUCUGGGGUCGUCCUGGUUGCCGUUCAAGGGGUUCCCAGAAAUGGAUUGAGGAGAACUUACUUGGUUCUUUUUUCUUCUGGUUUUGUCAGCAUGUCUCUUUCUUUAAUAAAUUGAUUUCUGAAAUUGCU